CUUCCAGACUCCUACGGGAGGCAGCAGUGGGGAAUAUUGCACAAUGGGGGAAACCCUGAUGCAGCGACGCCGCGUGAGUGAAGAAGGAUCUCGGUACGUAAAGCUCUAUCAGCAGGGAAGAAAAUGACGGUACCUGACUAAGAAGCCCCGGCUAACUACGUGCCAGCAGCCGCGGUAAUACGUAGGGGGCAAGCGUUAUCCGGAUUUACUGGGUGUAAAGGGAGCGCAGACGGCAGCGCAAGCCAGGAGUGAAAGCCCGGGGCCCAACCCCGGGACUGCUCUUGGAACUGCGCGGCUGGAGUGCAGGAGGGGCAGGCGGAAUUCCUGGUGUAGCGGUGAAAUGCGUAGAUAUCAGGAGGACCACCGGUGGCGAAGGCGGCCUGCUGGACUGCGACUGACGUUGAGGCCCGAAAGCGUGGGGAGCAAACAGGAUUAGAUACCCGGGUAGU
rnacentral:rRNA from 1 species